UACGGAGGAUCCAAGCGUUAUCCGGAUUUAUUGGGUUUAAAGGGUGCGUAGGCGGAUUGAUAAGUUAGAGGUGAAAUGUCCGAGCUCAACUCGGGAACUGCCUCUAAUACUGUCGAUCUAGAGAGUAGAUGCGGUAGGCGGAAUGUACGGUGUAGCGGUGAAAUGCUUAGAGAUCAUACAGAACACCGAUUGCGAAGGCAGCUUACCAAUCUAUAUCUGAUGUUGAGGCACGAAAGCGUGGGGAUCAAACAGG
rnacentral:rRNA from 1 species